GACGAACGCUGGCGGCGUGCUUAACACAUGCAAGUCGAACGGAAGGGCCCUGCUUUUGUGGGGUGCUCGAGUGGCGAACGGGUGAGUAACACGUGAGUAACCUGCCCUUGACUUUGGGAUAACUUCAGGAAACUGGGGCUAAUACCGGAUAGGAGCUCCUGCUGCAUGGUGGGGGUUGGAAAGUUUCGGCGGUUGGGGAUGGACUCGCGGCUUAUCAGCUUGUUGGGGGGGUAGUGGCUUACCAAGGCUUUGACGGGUAGCCGGCCUGAGAGGGUGACCGGCCACCUUGGGACUGAGAUACGGCCCAGACUCCUACGGGAGGCAGCAGUGGGGAGUAUUGCACAAUGGGCGGAAGCCUGAUGCAGCAGCGCCGCGUGCGGGAUGACGGCCUUCGGGUUGUAAACCGCUUUCGCCUGUGACGAAGCGUGAGUGACGGUAAUGGGUAAAGAAGCACCGGCUAACUACGUG
rnacentral:rRNA from 1 species